GGCAGUGUGGCAUAGUGGCUUGAGUGUUGGACUAUAACUUUGGAGAACAGGGUUUGAAUCCCCGCUCGGCCA